rnacentral:rRNA from 1 species
UGGGGAAUAUUGCACAAUGGGGGAAACCCUGAUGCAGCGACGCCGCGUGAGCGAAGAAGUAUUUCGGUAUGUAAAGCUCUAUCAGCAGGGAAGAAAAUGACGGUACCUGACUAAGAAGCACCGGAUAAAUACGUGCCAGCAGCCGCGGUAAUACGUAAGGUGCAAGCGUUAUGCGGAUUUACUGGGUGGAAAGGGAGCGUAGACGGGUGGGUAGGUCUGAAGUGAAAGCCCGGGGCUCAACCCCGAGACUGCUUUCGAAACUAUGCAGCUAGAGUGUCGGAGAGGUAAGUGGAAUUCCCAGUGUAGCGGUGAAAUGCGUAGAUAUUGGGAGGAACACCAGUGGCGAAGGCGGCUUACUGGACGAUGACUGACGCUGAGGCUCGAAAGCGUGGGGAGCAAACA